GACGAACGCUGGCGGCGUGCUUAACACAUGCAAGUCGAACGGAAAGGCCCUGCUUUUGUGGGGUGCUCGAGUGGCGAACGGGUGAGUGACACGUGAGUAACCUGCCCUUGACUUUGGGAUAACUUCAGGAAACUGGGGCUAAUACCGGAUAGGAGCUCCUGCUGCAUGGUGGGGGUUGGAAAGUUUCGGCGGUUGGGGAUGGACUCGCGGCUUAUCAGCUUGUUGGUGGGGUAGUGGCUUACCAAGGCUUUGACGGGUAGCCGGCCUGAGAGGGUGACCGGCCACAUUGGGACUGAGAUACGGCCCAGACUCCUACGGGAGGCAGCAGUGGGGAAGAUUGCACAAUGGGCGGAAGCCUGAUGCAGCAACGCCGCGUGCGGGAUGACGGCCUUCGGGUUGUAAACCGCUUUCGCCUGUGACGAAGCGUGAGUGACGGUAAUGGGUAAAGAAGCACCGGCUAACUACGUG
rnacentral:rRNA from 1 species